rnacentral:rRNA from 1 species
AACGAACGCUGGCGGCAUGCCUAACACAUGCAAGUCGAACGAGACCUUCGGGUCUAGUGGCGCACGGGUGCGUAACGCGUGGGAACCUGCCUUUAGGUUCGGAAUAACUCAGAGAAAUUUGAGCUAAUACCGGAUGAUGUCUUCGGACCAAAGAUUUAUCGCCUUUAGAUGGGCCCGCGUUGGAUUAGCUAGUUGGGGGGGUAAAGGCCUACCAAGGCGACGAUCCAUAGCUGGUCUGAGAGGAUGAUCAGCCACACUGGGACUGAGACACGGCCCAGACUCCUACGGGAGGCAGCAGUGGGGAAUAUUGGACACUGGGCGAAAGCCUGAUCCAGCAAUGCCGCGUGAGUGAUGAAGGCCUUAGGGUUGUAAAGCUCUUUUACCCGAGAUGAUAAUGACAGUAUCGGGAGAAUAAGCUCCGGCUAACUCCGUG